AUGGAUAACACAUGGUGGUUGUACUUCAUCUUUUGUCACCGUGGAGGUUUUCUUUUGGCAUCCAAACUGGCCAUGAACACUUCCAGGACGGGGGCAUCCACAACUUCCAGUCUCACCACCUUCACAGUAAGUAUUUUCUUCCUAAUAUCUACCCUCUUUCAGUUUAAAGCCAUUUCCCCUUGUCCUGUCACUACAUGCCCUUAUAAAAAGUCCCUUCCCUGGAUUGUGACCAGUUUCUCAGCUAUGUAUUUAUCUGCUGUGGUUUCCUGGUCCUUUCAGUAUCCCUCUCUGCUGCUGAAGGGAUAGAGGAGAACACCACCUGUACUCCCUCUCCAUCCACUCAUUGCUCUAAUCCCCUAAAAUCCCUUUUGAUAGCCCUAAGGCUACACUCAGCAAUUUCAUUGCUGCUAGCCUGUACUACCAGUAAAGAAUAAUAAUCAGAGGGGUGAUCCAGGCCAGGAAAUUUUCUGGUAAUGUCCUGAUCCAGACUCCACUGAAACAGCAGACUUCCCUACAGGGAGGCUCUUGCCAACCUUGCCCUCCCCUCAGAAGGGAGUAACCUAUGACACUUAUCCUUCUUUCCUUUUUGGUGGAGGUGGUCUUGAGGGGUUGAGUAGACUGCUUUGCCCUAGGCAAUGUCCUGGGUGCACCUUCCACUGCUUCCUCACUUACCUUUCUCUCGAGUUCCAAAGCCUCAGGUCUAGUAUUUAAGGACCUGGGAAGGUGAGGUAUGUAGGGAGUGGGUUUGCCUGUGAUGCCUAGCAAGGACCUGCUUCCAUUCCUACCCAUUUCUUAGGUGUCCUCCCUUUGCCUGACAGUGACAGGGUAGGGGAUCCAUCAGUACUUGGGGUGUAUCACUCUGAUGACUUUCUUGUAGAUAUGGCGGGGAGUCUACCAGUCUAUCUCCUGCUCACUCUUUGUGAUGCUCCUUACUCCUUAAUCUCUCCACCUCCUUGCUGAGCUCUGCCACCAGGUUGAGCAGAUCAUCUACCUGCUCAUACCUCAUGCAGGUGGUAUCUCUACCACCCUUCAAUGGCAGCAAUAGGCUCAGGCAUUCCCUGCAGCCAGAGACCUGAACUGCCACAUUUCUGGGCAGGCACUUGGUCUGGGUAGCUGCAUUCUUUUUGGCAAGAGCUUUCUACCUAGUGGAGACUACUAUAGUGGCUGCUGGUAGUUUAUUGCUGGGAGGUCUUUGAAAUAAUGAUAGAGGUCAGUGUUUUGGGUAGGGAGGUGGCCUGGCUCUCCUUCAACUCCAUACCAUGGUCUGAUGGCAUAGAUAGUGCUGAGAUACUGGGUAGUGCAAAGUCAUAUCUGUGGCAAAUGGAUCUCUUCCUCAUAUUCCAGUGGACCCAUGCCCAGGGAUUCCUUGGCAGACAUUGCUGGAGAGAGAUGCAGUACCCCCAUACCAUUUUCUCUGCAAUGGAUGGUGCUGGGCCUGAUGGGGUUUUCUAGUUGCUACACCUUCAUUGACACCUCACUAUUCUCUUUACAGUAGACAUGCCUGAGUGCACGCUGCUGCAUGGACAGUGAGGACGUCUUUGUCCCAGACCAUUCUUUGGACAGCAGGCCUGUCUGAGCCCCAUGACAUUCUCUGGACGGUGGGCAUGCCAGGGCCCUGUGCCAUUCUCAGAAUGUCAGGCAUGUCUGGGAUCCACAUCCAUGGGCUCCUUGCCAUUUUGUACAGACUUGAAUGUGAUAAUGUAUGUAUUUGCUGGGCAAGGAUUUUCUUUGCCUGCCUUCAUUGGCUGUGCAAUGAUGGAGCGCAGUGCAAAGGACAGGGAUGUGGUGGUCAUUGUGAUGUCCAGAGGCUGCUGCAAUGUCCAACCCUGACUGUGUAGGGCAUGGGAUGGUUGUGAUCUGUGUUCUGAUUCCUUCAUGUGGAAGAAGGAGAAAGGUUGGGAAGACCUGGGGAGAGCUCUCCUGUGCUAUUUUGCUAGCCGGAGGGAAAGGCUGUCCCUUGGGCACAGUGUUUUAACCCAUCAAGAGUUGUGCACCAGGCAGCCUUUCACUCUCUAGAAUCAGUGAAAGAACUGGAAAAAGGAAAAACUUGGGUGUUGAAACGAAUACAUGUAAUAAGACAGAAACUAUAGGUAAAAUAGCACUAAUAGCAUAUAUAUGUUACAUAUAUGGUAUAUAAUCUUACAUAUACACAUACAAAAAAAGCGAUGCACAAUGCAACUGCUCACCACCUGCCAAGCAAUCCCCUGCCAGUUCCCCAAACAGUACUGCCUUCUCCUCCUGCCUUGUCAAAUCCCCUAUGUUUUUUGUCUGCAUCUUCUCAUAUGGCAUGAAAUAUCUCCUUGAACAGUUUAGGUCAGCUGUUGUGGUUCUGUUCCUUCCAGCUUCUCACCCUCAACCUCCUCACUGGCAGGUCAGCAUAAAAGGGUGAAAAAUACUUGUCUUAAUGUUAAGACUGCUCAACAAAUAAAAUAGUGGUGUGCUAUCA
rnacentral:lncRNA from 1 species